CCUACGGGCGGCAGCAGUGAGGAAUAUUGGUCAAUGGACGAGAGUCUGAACCAGCCAAGUAGCGUGAAGGAUGACUGCCCUAUGGGUUGUAAACCUCUUUUAUAUGGGAAUAAAAUGUUCCACGUGUGGGAUUUUGUAUGUACCAUAUGAAUAAGGAUCGGCUAACUCCGUGCCAGCAGCCGCGGUAAUACGGAGGAUCCGAGCGUUAUCCGGAUUUAUUGGGUUUAAAGGGAGCGUAGGUGGAUUGUUAAGUCAGUUGUGAAAGUUUGCGGCUCAACCGUAGAAUUGCAGUUGAAACUGGCAGUCUUGAGUACAGUAGAGGUGGGCGGAAUUCGUGGUGUAGCGGUGAAAUGCUUAGAUAUCACGAAGAACUCCGAUUGCGAAGGCAGUUCACUGGACUGCAACUGACACUGAGGCUCGAAAGUGUGGGUAUCAAACAGGAUUAGAUACCCCUGUAGUC
rnacentral:rRNA from 1 species